rnacentral:rRNA from 1 species
UGUAGCGGUGAAAUGCGUAGAUAUCAGGAGGAACACCCGGUGGUGUAAACGGCUUUCUGGACCAUAACUGACGCUGAGGCACGAAAGCGUGGGUAGCAAACAGGAUUAGAUACCCUGGUAGUCCACGCCCUAAACGAUGCAUAUUUGGUGUGGGCCAUUCAUUUGGUCUGUGCCGGAGCUAACGCGUUAAAUAUGCCGCCUGGGGAGUACAGUCGCAAGGCUGAAACUCAAAGGAAUUGACGGGGGCCCGCACAAGCGGUGGAGCAUGUGGUUUAAUUCGACGCAACGCGAAGAACCUUACCUGGGCUCGAAAUGCUAUGGACCAGCUGGUGAAAGCCGGCCUUCCCGCAAGGGACCGUAGUAUAGGUGCUGCAUGGCUGUCGUCAGCUCGUGUCGUGAGAUGUUGGGUUAAGUCCCGCAACGAGCGCAACCCUUGUCCUGUGUUGCCAUCAUUCAGUUGGGAACUCGCAGGAGACCGCCAGGGAUAACCUGGAGGAAGGUGGGGAUGACGUCAAGUCCUCAUGGCCUUUAUGUCCAGGGCUACACACGUGCUACAAUGGACGGUACAAAGGGCUGCCAACCCGCAAGGGGGAGCCAAUCCCAAAAAACCGUUCUCAGUUCGGAUUGCAGGCUGCAACUCGCCUGCAUGAAGCUGGAAUCGCUAGUAAUGGUGGAUCAGAACGCCACCGUGAAUACGUUCCCGGGCCUUGUACACACCGCCCGU